rnacentral:rRNA from 1 species
AUUGAACGCUGGCGGCAUGCCUUACACAUGCAAGUCGAACGGUAACGGGCCUUCGGGUGCCGCCGAGUGGCGGACGGGCGAGUGAUACAUCGGUACGUGCACGCUCGUGGAGGAUAAGGGGGCGAAUGCUUGGCAAAUACCGCAUACCAUCUAAGUAUGUGAGCAGGGGACCGCGAGGCCUUGCGGCGAUGGAGCGGCCGAUGGCCGAUUAGGUAGUUGGUGGGGUAAAAGCCUAACAAGCCGACGAUCUGUAGCUGGUUUGAGAGGCUGAUCCGCCACACUGGGACUGAGACACGGCCCAGACUCCUACGGGAGGCAGCAGUGGGGAAUUUUGGACAAUGGGCGCAAGCCUGAUCCAGCCAUGCCGCGUGGAUGAAGAAGGCCUUCGGGUUGUAAACUGCUUUUGUACGGAACGAAAAGCCUGCUUUUAAUACAGGCAGGUCAUGACGGUACCGUAAGAAUAAGCACCGGCUAACUACGUG